UCCUUUAAUCUUUUCUCGGUGGACUUGAGGAAGUUCUUGACGGAUACGAGGAACAGGAAUGUAAAAAUAAAUGUGGAGAAACGAGGAAUGUUGAGGAAAGACGAAGGAGGAGAAUUGAGAAGCAGGUAAGAAGAAGGAGGAGGCGGAGGAAGGGCCUCGCACACCUCACUCUUAAAAUGUAAACAGCCCACACUGGCUCUCGGACGACCGGCAGAGCUCAGUCACCCAUAAGCCGUCAGAGGGGGAGGUUGCGUCUCGGUUGUGGCAGUCUCGCUCGUGUGAGUUUCGGUUCCACCCUUGGCGUCGCGCACCCCAAGACCUCAAAGUGUCCUACAUUAUACAUCACACUCGCUUCUCUUUCACUUUGUCCUCGCGCGUUCCUCGAGUAAUAUCUACACAUGAAGCAAUAUCUGAACAAAGAGUGACAGAGAAAGAUCCGUAACAAAGAAAUCUCAGUUUUACAAUAUUCUUUGUGUAUGGAAAAGACGGAAAGGAAGGAUUAAAAAAAGGAGAAUCAGUGAAAGAAAAUUGGAUGUGUGUUUGUAACUAAAGAAAACUAUAAAAAAAAGGAAGAAAAAAUUGACCUAUCAGAUACAUUAGAGAAAACAAAGAGAUAGAAGCAAUAAAAUGAGAGAUAAAUAAAACUGAAGGAAGAGGAAACGAGGGAGAACAAGAAACAGUUAUAGAAUCAGCGAACUCGGAAUAAAAAAAGAUGUAGGAGAAAGAGAGGGAAAGAAAGAGGCAGGAGACGAACAGUGAGGAAAUGUGGAAAGCCUGAAAC